rnacentral:rRNA from 1 species
CCUACGGGAGGCAGCAGUGGGGAAUAUUGGGCAAUGGAGGAAACUCUGACCCAGCAACGCCGCGUGAAGGAUGAAGGUUUUCGGAUUGUAAACUUCUGUCGCGAGGGAUGAAGAAUGACGGUACCUCGUAAGAAAGCCCCGGCAAACUACGUGCCAGCAGCCGCGGUAAUACGUAGGGGGCGAGCGUUGUCCGGAAUGACUGGGCGUAAAGGGAGUGUAGGCGGCAUAUUAAGUUAUGUGUGAAAGCCCGCGGCUCAACCGCGGAAUUGCACAUAAAAUUGGUAAGCUAGAGUAUGACAGAGGCAAGUGGAACUACAUGUGUAGCGGUAAAAUGCGUAAAUAUAUGUAAGAACACCAGUGGCGAAGGCGGCUUGCUGGGUCGAUACUGACAUUGAGGCACGAAAGCAUGGGGAGCAAACAGGAUUAGAUACCCCAGUAGUC